CUUCUUCUAUAUAAAAGUUGUUUAACUAAUUGGUCAAACGCCUUGAUUUGAGAAAAAAGUACUUUUUUCUCAAAAAAAAAGCCUCCCAAUCACUAGGCCAACCAGGGUCUUCUAUGUUAUGGCUAUAGGCAAAAUAUUGAGGCAACCCAUGUUGUGGUGUCCGACAUGCCUUAAUAUCUGCUCUAUUUUUAGGCAUUUGCACUUAUAGAUCCCGGAUCUACACAUGCAUGUCUCUCUACUUUGCAUCUUAUUUAGAGAGGGAUCUCAAAUUCUUAGAUUAGUCUUUAGUUGCGACUCAAAUAGGGGAGUCUAUAGUCGUAGAUUAGGUUUACCAGGAUUGUGCAGUCUCGGGGUAGGGAAGGACCACGAUCCAUUUCAUUGUAUAAAAAAAUGAUUAAUUUUGAUGAUAUCAUGAGCAUGGAUUGACUAGCAUCAUGUCCUACUACACUUAAUUAUCACGUCAAAAUUGUAAGUUUGUAAUUCCAAUGGAAGUGUGUCAAGAGUAAGAAGGCAAGACAACUACAAUUAACAACAAGAGGAUAUCUUUCAUGAUGGGUAAGAAAGGGCUGUUUGGGCUUCAUUAUUGUAGUUCUGGACACCCAAGCGGAGGGAAUUAUGCUUGACAGUGCCAGUAAUAAGUGAGUAUCCAGAAUGUUUGGAUGGUUAUGCUUGACUGUGCCAGUAAUAAGUGAGUAUCCAGAGUGUUUGGAUGGCUUACCGGGCUACCUUCGAUGUGAGAAUUUUUUGAGUUAUGUGUGGACAUUUACCCAAGAUAAGGGUCUAUUUCAAUUCCAUAUAUCAUAUGGCACCAACAGAGUUGAAACAGCUAAGGGGCUGUUUGGUAGCUGGUUAAGGUUCAAGCUAAUACAUAAAUAACUUGGUCAUUCAGGUAUUAAUUUUAUACAUUGUUUCAUUUGUAAAUAAAAUAAAAGUUAUUGAUGUAUUAAUUCAUACAAUUUUAUUAAUUUUACACAACGUUUGGUUGGUAAACAAAGCAACUCUCAUAAGAAAUGACAUUGCCAAAAAUAAUUUUUUAGAUAAUCGUGCCUCAAACUGAUAGGAUAGAGCUUUCAUAGCAGUAUGUUCCUUAGGCAAUUUUAUCCAUUUUGUCAUUAGACUUACUCUUUAGAUCCUUGUUUGAAAUAUAUAAACAAAUAAUCACUGCAAAUAUUUGAGGGUGGAAAGGACUAGUAAUGUGGAGAUAGACACUGAUUAUAUUUGAAAGAUUAUCUCAACUAUCAGCAUUUUUUGUGUUAUUAUUCUCAAAAAUUUUAGAUAUAUUUGGUGAUUUAUUUAUAUCUAUUUGUAGAGUUAUUCAAAGUUUUUCUUUUGCUUAUUUUCUUAAUAAUAAAAUGAUAAAAUUGAAGAUAUAUGAGAUAUACGACCCAUAGAUCUAUGGAACUUACGCAUCGUCCCAUACUGCAUAAAACGCAUCGCCUCACGCCCCCACCUUUUAAAACACUAAUUCUUGCUACUGAGGUGAGCCAUCCACUCUACUCAUGAAUGUUGUUACCUAUGCUUUCUUAGUUAAGAUAUUGGGUUUUAUUCAUUCAGACAGUAUUAUAUGCUCCAUGACUAGAUUGUUGGAUUAUGGGAUUCAUUAUUUACUCAUGUUGAACUGCUGAUACAUGGUUUCCACAAUUCCACUGUCAUGUUAAAUUGUAUUAUGGUAUUUGCCUAUUUAGAUUAAGCUUCUUGUUAUGAAUGCUGAUUUGCUUACUGAAAAUAGAUGCUCGCUAAGUGUCGUCAUGACCUACCCAAGUUUCAGUAGUGACAAUGACCAUCUAAGCAAUUAACAAUACAAUGCUGAUAAUCCGUCCCAUCAUACAAAUAAUGCCAGCGGUAACUGGGUUAACUCUUCCUUUUUAACAAGGCACCAGUAACUGGAUUAAAGUCCCAGGACUAUGCUAGUAAUGCAAUCAAACAAGAGCAAGUUGCUUAGGAAGAAAGGAGAAUAAGAUAUACAACAUAAGUAGAAGAAAAUCAUAUUAAAUUGUGUG
rnacentral:lncRNA from 1 species